rnacentral:rRNA from 1 species
AUGGACUUCAUCGAGGGUUUGCCCAGAUCAGAAGGGUUCGACAUGAUCAUGGUGGUUGUCGACCGCUUCACCAAGUUUGCACACUUUGUGCCCUUGCGACACCCAUUCACGGCGACACAAGUGGCAAAAGUGUUCUGGGACAACAUCGUCAAGCUGCACGGCAUCCCCUCCUCCAUCGUCUUCGACCGCGACAAAGUGUUCACCAGUGUGCUCUGGCGUGAACUGCUAGCCAGAGCCGGCACCAAGCUCCUCUACUCCACUGCCUAUCACCCUCAGACGGACGGACAAAGCGAGCGCGUGAACCAGUGCAUGGAGAUGUACUUGCGUUGCGCUGUCCACGACACCCCCAGGCAAUGGUGUCGCUGGCUGCCCUCUGCAGAAUUCUGGUACAACUCAUCUUUCCACUCCUCUCUGGGUUGCUCUCCGUUCAAGGCUCUGUACGGUGUGGAUGCAAACGAGGGAAGCAUGACAACCUGGCCGACAACACAAGCACCAUUGCCGGACGGGGAACGGUGGGAUUGGGCACUGCACAAGGACAACCUGAAACUGCAGUUAACAAGAGCGCAACAAAAGUACAAGAAGUUUGCCGACAGAAAUCGCACCGAGCGCGUCUUUCAGGUCGGUGAGCAAGUCCUUCUGAAACUGCAACCACAUGUGCAGAAAUCAGUGGCCAGCAGGCCAUGCGCCAAACUCGCGUUCAAGUUCUUCGGGCCUUUUACCGUUAUCACCAAGAUCGGCCCUUCGGCAUACAAGCUAGAGUUGCCAGCAGACAGUCGUAUCCAUCCAGUGUUUCAUGUAUCCCAGUUGAAGCCCUUCACACCGAAUUAUACACCGGUGUUCUCUGAACUUCCAGCAACGACAGACUUAUCGAUAGUGGACUCUGCACCAGUGGAGAUCAUGGACAGAAGAAUGGUGAAAAGAGGAGACGCUCCAGUGAUCCAAGUUCAAGUGGCCUGGGACACAACUCCUCCGUCUACUACCUGGGAAGAUUACGAUGUUCUGCGACGGCGCUUUCCUCAGGGAACAAUCUGGAACGACAACCCAAACGAAGAAGGGGCUGAAUCUCAAGAAGGGGAGAAUGUCACGCCGGUGGACAGCACCACCGCGUGA